rnacentral:rRNA from 1 species
AACCUGGUUGAUCCUGCCAGUAGUCAUAUGCUUGUCUCAAAGACUAAGCCAUGCAUGUCUAAGUAUAAGUGUUAUACAGCGAAACUGCGAAUGGCUCAUUAAAACAGUUAUAGUUUAUUUGGUAAUCGAAAUUACAUGGAUAACCGUGGUAUCUUCUAGAGCUAAUACAUGCAGGUUAGCCCGACUUUGCGGAAGGGCUGUAUUUAUUAGAUAACAGACCAAUAUUCCUCGUGUCUAUUGUGGUGACUCAUAGUAACUUUUCGGAUCGCAUGGGU